rnacentral:rRNA from 1 species
AACGAACGCUGGCGGCAGGCCUAACACAUGCAAGUCGAACGCUGUAGCAAUACAGAGUGGCAGACGGGUGAGUAACGCGUGGGAACCUUCCCAAUGGUGCGGAAUAGCUCAGGGAAACUUGAGGUAAUACCGCAUAAGCCCUUAGGGGGAAAGAUUUAUCGCCAUUGGAUGGGCCCGCGUCGGAUUAGCUAGUUGGUGAGGUAAUGGCUCACCAAGGCAACGAUCCGUAGCUGGUUUGAGAGAAUGACCAGCCACACUGGGACUGAGACACGGCCCAGACUCCUACGGGAGGCAGCAGUGGGGAAUCUUGGACAAUGGGCGCAAGCCUGAUCCAGCCAUGCCGCGUGAGUGACGAAGGCCUUAGGGUUGUAAAGCUCUUUUGCCCGGGACGAUAAUGACGGUACCCGGAGAAUAAGUCCCGGCUAACUUCGUGCCAGCCGCCGCAGUAAAAC